rnacentral:rRNA from 1 species
CAGCAGCCGCCGCGGUAAUACGUAGGGUCCGAGCGUUGUCCGGAAUUAUUGGGCGUAAAGAGCUUGUAGGCGGUUUGUCGCGUCUGCUGUGAAAACCCGAGGCUCAACCUCGGGCCUGCAGUGGGUACGGGCAGACUAGAGUGCGGUAGGGGAGAUUGGAACUCCUGGUGUAGCGGUGGAAUGCGCAGAUAUCAGGAAGAACACCGAUGGCGAAGGCAGAUCUCUGGGCCGUUACUGACGCUGAGGAGCGAAAGCAUGGGGAGCGAACAGGAUUAGAUACCCCGGUAGUCCCUGUCUCUUAUAC